rnacentral:sRNA from 1 species
AUUCCUGCUACCGCGAAAAAGGGAACUCUAACCUUUCGUUAAAUUCCAAAGAGGAUAUUGCAUAUGGAGUAGACCCAAAUGCGAGCAUUUCGUGGACUGAAAGUAGAUUAUUCACUCUAUUUUCUCUAUUUU